rnacentral:rRNA from 1 species
AGAGUUUGAUCCUGGCUCAGGACGAACGCUGGCGGCGCGCCUAACACAUGCAGGUCGAACGAGAGAGAGGGAGCUUGCUUCCUCAAUCGAGUGGCGAACGGGUGAGUAACGCGUGAGGAACCUGCCUCAAAGAGGGGGACAACAGUUGGAAACGACUGCUAAUACCGCAUAAGCCCACAGCUCGGCAUCGAGCAGAGGGAAAAGGAGCAAUCCGCUUUGAGAUGGCCUCGCGUCCGAUUAGCUAGUUGGUGAGGUAAUGGCCCACCAAGGCGACGAUCGGUAGCCGGACUGAGAGGUUGAACGGCCACAUUGGGACUGAGACACGGCCCAGACUCCUACGGGAGGCAGCAGUGGGGAAUAUUGCACAAUGGGGGAAACCCUGAUGCAGCGACGCCGCGUGGAGGAAGAAGGUCUUCGGAUUGUAAACUCCUGUUGUUGAGGAAGAUAAUGACGGUACUCAACAAGGAAGUGACGGCUAACUACGUGCCAGCAGCCGCGGUACAACGUACGUCACAAGCGUUGUCCGGAAUUACUGGGUGUAAAGGGAGCCCACGCGGGAAGACAAGUUGGAAGUGAAAUCUAUGGGCUCAACCCAUCAACUGCUUUCAAAACUGGUCCCCCUUGAGUAGUGCAGAGUAGGCGGAAUCCCCGGUGUAGCGGUGGAAUGCGUAGAUAUCGGGAGGAACACCAGUGGCGAAGGCGGCNUACUGGGCACCAACUGACGCUGAGGCUCGAAAGUGUGGGUAGCAAACAGGAUUAGAUACNCUGGUAGUCCACACCGUAAACGAUGAUUACUAGGUGUUGGAGGAUUGACCCCUUCAGUGCCGCAGUUAACACAAUAAGUAAUCCACCUGGGGAGUACGACCGCAAGGUUGAAACUCAAAGGAAUUGACGGGGGCCCGCACAAGCAGUGGAGUAUGUGGUUUAAUUCGACGCAACGCGAAGAACCUUACCAAGUCUUGACAUCCUGCGACGAUGCUGGAAACAGUAUUUUCCUUCGGGACGCAGAGACAGGUGGUGCAUGGUUGUCGUCAGCUCGUGUCGUGAGAUGUUGGGUUAAGUCCCGCAACGAGCGCAACCCUUACUGUCAGUUACUACGCAAGAGGACUCUGGCAGGACUGCCGUUGACAAAACGGAGGAAGGUGGGGAUGACGUCAAAUCAUCAUGCCCUUUAUGACUUGGGCUACACACGUACUACAAUGGCGUUAAACAAAGAGAAGCAAGACCGCGAGGUGGGGCAAAACUCAGAAACAACGUCCCAGUUCGGACUGCAGGCUGCAACUCGCCUGCACGAAGUCGGAAUUGCUAGUAAUCGUGGAUCAGCAUGCCACGGUGAAUACGUUCCCGGGCCUUGUACACACCGCCCGUC